rnacentral:lncRNA from 1 species
UGGCAUUCGGGGUUUUGUUCUUGAUCAUGUUGAUCAUCAAUAUUUUCCUAUGCUCCGCCAUGACUUGUGCCUGCGCCCGAACUGAGAUAAUCGAAAAAGAGCCGAGUAUAAUUGAAGAUUACGACCCAUACCGCAGUUGGCAUGGAAGCCAGUAUGGUUCCAGGGCCAGCCUGAGGAUGACUCCCUAGGGGUCAAAACCGAUAUUCGCUAAAUGGAGCCCCUCAGCACCCCAAAGGCUACACAUCUGGGGGCUCAACACUGAACUCAGCUAGGUCGAUUUCUUCCCAUAGCGAUCAUUAUGCCAUCGUCCAUUCCCGACCUGGAAGCAGGGGAUACAACACGAAAAGUCGGGGUCCUCCUUCACACAUUGGAAGUCAUUAUAGCGGCAAAUAAUUUAGGUUUUCGAGUGAAAUUUUGUGUAAAAACUACCUUUAGAAACUGGCAGCUUGUUGCUGAUGCUCGUUGAUUAAAUUGUAAAUAUUGGACAUGAGUUUAAGGAAAUUUGAGUCAUCAGAACUCUAGAAGGUUUAAUUGUUUACCGAAGAAAGCAAAACUGUAAUAGACGUUAAACUAGAAACGAUGUGGCAUAUAUUUGUAGUCUAAGCUAUUAAUUGUUACCUUUUAUAUUUUUAUAUUUAAUAGGUUUUCUGCAAUGUUUUAACUGUGCUUAUUCAGCAGCGUACUUGUAACCGGAUAAUUCUGUAAAUCAAUGAUACCUUAUUGCAUUACAAUUUGCAACAACCAUAUUGUAUAAAGUCUGAUAAUUAUGUUAAAUGCAAUUUUUCUCUGUACAUAGAGCGUUGAAUAAAUUAACUCUAUUAAUAUAAA